rnacentral:rRNA from 1 species
UGGGGAAUAUUGCACAAUGGGUGCAAGCCUGAUGCAGCCAUGCCGCGUGUAUGAAGAAGGCCUUCGGGUUGUAAAGUACUUUCAGCGGGGAGGAAGGGAGUAAAGUUAAUACCUUUGCUCAUUGACGUUACCCGCAGAAGAAGCACCGGCUAACUCCGUGCCAGCAGCCGCGGUAAUACGGAGGGUGCAAGCGUUAAUCGGAAUUACUGGGCGUAAAGCGCACGCAGGCGGUUUGUUAAGUCAGAUGUGAAAUCCCCGGGCUCAACCUGGGAACUGCAUCUGAUACUGGCAAGCUUGAGUCUCGUAGAGGGGGGUAGAAUUCCAGGUGUAGCGGUGAAAUGCGUAGAGAUCUGGAGGAAUACCGGUGGCGAAGGCGGCCCCCUGGACGAAGACUGACGCUCAGGUGCGAAAGCGUGGGGAGCAAACAGG